rnacentral:ncRNA from 1 species
AUUGCUAUGCUUAGUGUGUGACUCCGUUGGUUUUUUAGGGUUAGGAUUAAAAAAGACCAGCCCACAUAGUAUGAACUAAAAACUAUAGAACUAAUAACCAACCCAUCACUUCGCAUUAUCUGGAUCUAAAGAACCAGUCAAGAUAUGAUAUAUAGGUCAUAUCUUUGUAGCAACUGAAAUCUUUUGCAUAAACAAAAAAGGAAAUCUGAUUCUAAGUUGUAAAGCAAAAUAGACAAAAAAGAUGUGGAUAAAUGGAAGGAUGAGAGAAAGAGAGAAAAAGAAUACCAAUGAUAUAAAAUUCCAAUAUGUAAGGUCUAUGAGUAAUCUCAUAAAAGGCAGUGUAAUAAAGCAUCAAUACGCAUUCAUACCAUAAUAAAAUGAAUCUUCUUAUAGAAAUAGAACAAAAAAUCAAGAGCUUCGAGCCAAUAAAGACUGAGAAGAUUGACUCAAGAACCAAUUUCAUUCUGAGCUCCAUUGUAGAAUUCGGACCUAACCAUUAAGUAAGAAGUGAUGGGAACGACGGAACUUGUGAAUGCAAAAGAUUCUAUUGAAAAAGGAAUCUUAAUGAUUCACUGGUCGGGAUGGCGGAACGAACCAGAGAUUAAUUCAUGUAUUCGGAGAUCUGAGAAGUCACGAGUUAACCCUACAAAUGAAAUAGGGAUUGAAAGAGUCAAUAUUCGCCCGCGAAAACUUUUUUUAUUGCAAAAUUUAGGACAAUACAAUAAAGGACAAAAUAAGGAUUUGGUAUAAUAAUACAAUUUUUUUUUAGAUUUCUAUUUAUAAAACUCAAAAGUUUAGUUAUCUAUUCAAACAAGAUAUACAAAUUACUAAUAGAUUGAAUGAAAUCUCAAAGAAUCCCACGUUCAAGGUAUUACUCAGUAAAUACAUAUAUAUCUUAACUUAAGAUUGACUAUUCUAGCUUAAUUCUAAUUAAAUUUUUUGAAUCCUUUUAUUCGCGAGGAGCUGGAUGAGAAGAAACUCUCACGUCCGGUUCUGUAGUAGAGAUGGAAUUCAGAAACAACCAUCAACUAUAACCC